rnacentral:rRNA from 1 species
GGUUAAGCGACUAAGCGUACACGGUGGAUGCCCUGGCAGUCAGAGGCGAUGAAGGACGUGCUAAUCUGCGAUAAGCGCCGGUAAGGUGAUAUGAACCGUUAUAACCGGCGAUUUCCGAAUGGGGAAACCCAGUGUGAUUCGUCACACUAUCAUUAACUGAAUCCAUAGGUUAAUGAGGCGAACCGGGGGAACUGAAACAUCUAAGUACCCCGAGGAAAAGAAAUCAACCGAGAUUCCCCCAGUAGCGGCGAGCGAACGGGGAGGAGCCCAGAGCCUGAAUCAGCAUGUGUGUUAGUGGAAGCGUCUGGAAAGGCGCGCGAUACAGGGUGACAGCCCCGUACACAAAAGCGCAUGUGCUGUGAGCUCGAUGAGUAGGGCGGGACACGUGGUAUCCUGUCUGAAUAUGGGGGGACCAUCCUCCAAGGCUAAAUACUCCUGACUGACCGAUAGUGAACCAGUACCGUGAGGGAAAGGCGAAAAGAACCCCGGCGAGGGGAGUGAAAAAGAACCUGAAACCGUGUACGUACAAGCAGUGGGAGCCCCACCACCAAAGCAUUCUCUGGUGUUGAAGGCCCUGCAAAGCAGCAUCGCGGUGGCGGAGCGUCGUUUGCGACGCCCAACACACAAAACAAGCGGUGAGUGCUUUGGGGUGGGGUGACUGCGUACCUUUUGUAUAAUGGGUCAGCGACUUAUAUUCUGUAGCAAGGUUAACCGAAUAGGGGAGCCGUAGGGAAACCGAGUCUUAACCGGGCGUUAAGUUGCAGGGUAUAGACCCGAAACCCGGUGAUCUAGCCAUGGGCAGGUUGAAGGUUGGGUAACACUAACUGGAGGACCGAACCGACUAAUGUUGAAAAAUUAGCGGAUGACCUGUGGCUGGGGGUGAAAGGCCAAUCAAACCGGGAGAUAGCUGGUUCUCCCCGAAAGCUAUUUAGGUAGCGCCUCGUGAAUUCAUCUCCGGGGGUAGAGCACUGUUUCGGCUAGGGGGCCAUCCCGGCUUACCAACCCGAUGCAAACUGCGAAUACCGGAGAAUGUUAUCACGGGAGACACACGGCGGGUGCUAACGUCCGUCGUGAAGAGGGAAACAACCCAGACCGCCAGCUAAGGUCCCAAAGUCAUGGUUAAGUGGGAAACGAUGUGGGAAGGCCCAGACAGCCAGGAUGUUGGCUUAGAAGCAGCCAUCAUUUAAAGAAAGCGUAAUAGCUCACUGGUCGAGUCGGCCUGCGCGGAAGAUGUAACGGGGCUAAACCAUGCACCGAAGCUGCGGCAGCGACGCUGAUGCGUUGUUGGGUAGGGGAGCGUUCUGUAAGCCUGUGAAGGUGGCCUGUGAGGGUUGCUGGAGGUAUCAGAAGUGCGAAUGCUGACAUAAGUAACGAUAAAGCGGGUGAAAAGCCCGCUCGCCGGAAGACCAAGGGUUCCUGUCCAACGUUAAUCGGGGCAGGGUGAGUCGACCCCUAAGGCGAGGCCGAAAGGCGUAGUCGAUGGGAAACGGGUUAAUAUUCCCGUACUUGGUGUUACUGCGAAGGGGGGACGGAGAAGGCUAUGUUGGCCGGGCGACGGUUGUCCCGGUUUAAGCGUGUAGGUGUGUGUUCCAGGUAAAUCCGGUUCACUUUAACACUGAGGCGUGAUGACGAGGCACUACGGUGCUGAAGCAACAAAUGCCCUGCUUCCAGGAAAAGCCUCUAAGCAUCAGGUAACAUCAAAUCGUACCCCAAACCGACACAGGUGGUCAGGUAGAGAAUACCAAGGCGCUUGAGAGAACUCGGGUGAAGGAACUAGGCAAAAUGGUGCCGUAACUUCGGGAGAAGGCACGCUGACACGUAGGUGAAGUGAUUUACUCAUGGAGCUGAAGUCAGUCGAAGAUACCAGCUGGCUGCAACUGUUUAUUAAAAACACAGCACUGUGCAAACACGAAAGUGGACGUAUACGGUGUGACGCCUGCCCGGUGCCGGAAGGUUAAUUGAUGGGGUCAGCGCAAGCGAAGCUCCUGAUCGAAGCCCCGGUAAACGGCGGCCGUAACUAUAACGGUCCUAAGGUAGCGAAAUUCCUUGUCGGGUAAGUUCCGACCUGCACGAAUGGCGUAAUGAUGGCCAGGCUGUCUCCACCCGAGACUCAGUGAAAUUGAACUCGCUGUGAAGAUGCAGUGUACCCGCGGCAAGACGGAAAGACCCCGUGAACCUUUACUAUAGCUUGACACUGAACAUUGAGCCUUGAUGUGUAGGAUAGGUGGGAGGCUUUGAAGCGUGGACGCCAGUCUGCAUGGAGCCGGCCUUGAAAUACCACCCUUUAAUGUUUGAUGUUCUAACGUGGACCCGUGAUCCGGGUUGCGGACAGUGUCUGGUGGGUAGUUUGACUGGGGCGGUCUCCUCCUAAAGAGUAACGGAGGAGCACGAAGGUUGGCUAAUCCUGGUCGGACAUCAGGAGGUUAGUGCAAUGGCAUAAGCCAGCUUGACUGCGAGCGUGACGGCGCGAGCAGGUGCGAAAGCAGGUCAUAGUGAUCCGGUGGUUCUGAAUGGAAGGGCCAUCGCUCAACGGAUAAAAGGUACUCCGGGGAUAACAGGCUGAUACCGCCCAAGAGUUCAUAUCGACGGCGGUGUUUGGCACCUCGAUGUCGGCUCAUCACAUCCUGGGGCUGAAGUAGGUCCCAAGGGUAUGGCUGUUCGCCAUUUAAAGUGGUACGCGAGCUGGGUUUAGAACGUCGUGAGACAGUUCGGUCCCUAUCUGCCGUGGGCGCUGGAGAACUGAGGGGGGCUGCUCCUAGUACGAGAGGACCGGAGUGGACGCAUCACUGGUGUUCGGGUUGUCAUGCCAAUGGCACUGCCCGGUAGCUAAAUGCGGAAGAGAUAAGUGCUGAAAGCAUCUAAGCACGAAACUUGCCCCGAGAUGAGUUCUCCCUGAGACUUAGAGUCUCCUGAAGGAACGUUGAAGACGACGACGUUGAUAGGCCGGGUGUGUAAGCGCAGCGAUGCGUUGAGCUAACCGGUACUAAUGAACCGUGAGGCUUAACCUU